UAAACAAUACACAAUUUUUAUCAGUGACUUUAUUAAAGAAACCAAAGAAGAGCACACUCGACUAUAUGAGGCAGCUCAGUUGGUGUUUUUAAGAAAACAAAGGGAUUGUUUACAGGUGUCUUCACAUCUGUUUAGAGAGCACUUCUUGCAGCUGCAUUCACCAUCAUUAUCAUCAUGACAGUGAGGAAUGAACAGAUGUUUUCCACAAAGUUUGUGCUAAGCUGAAAAG